CUCACAUGACUCAGAACAAGACAGGAUUCCGAGAGGGUGAUCUAUAGAGAUGGGUACGGUGUUGUUGUUGUUACUGGGCUGCAUGAAAUUAGACCAGGUUCACUCCUUCUCCCCCUGUCCCUGACUUGGAUACUACUUUGUAUGGAGUCUGGUGUCUGGCUGUUGCUGCUCUAUAAUUGGAGCUGCAUCUUCUGGCAUGAUCCCGACCUCCUGGCUUGGCUGAUUCAGGGCCUCUCUAGAAAACCUAUUUAUUGAGCAUUCGUCCUGAUUUGUUUGCACAAUGCUUGCACGUAGGUCAAGUUACAUCUGACUUUUGAGCAAUAGUUUUGAUUUGUUGAUAGGACAGUUGUAUGGCAAUGAGGAUUCUUUCUUAUUUGUAUCCAGGGUGUUUAUAGGUCUUCCCAUUAGUCAUUCAUCCCCUACUUUUAACCCACUUUAAAUGCAGAAGCCUAAAGUUCUGGUAUGUUCUUGAAUCCCUCCUGCAAAAUAUGGACAGUCUGGAGGCACUCUCAGUCCUGAUUAGGGUUGCAGAUUUUCCAAAGGUUGAUAUAAAGGUUAAAGGGGGGGGGGAAGCAUGGCACUCUGUCCCCACACCCGCGCAAAGGCCCUACAUUCAGAUGAAACUCUAUUUCUGCAAGACACUAUUCCAAAAUACUAUUUAUUUCUGCAGGAAUGUUCUGAGGUUUCACACAAUGCUUUCUUGUAGAAAAUACUUUCUGAAACAUUUUUGUAGAAUGGCUUUCAAUUCUUGUCUUUCAGCUGCAGAUCCAUACAAAAUUACAUCUUCUUUUGAUACAAGAAAAAAUGUAUGUGAGUGUGCGUGUGUGCAUGUGUGCAUGAACGCACUCACUUGCUUUCACACAAGCUUUCAAAAGCAAAAAAAGAAAUCCUGGACAAAGAGGUCUGGCAAAACAAAAUUUCUAAAAGUUAUGUGUCACAUUCAGUAUUGUUUUGGAAGGGGUAAUGCUUAAAUAUGUUAUUGCUAUGAACAUCCCAUCUUUGCUACUGCAUGUAUGCAUCUGGAGAGAGAGAGAAUUCUUAUAGCGAUAAGGAAUUCUCUUCAAUUUCAUUUGAUAGAUUUGGUAUGAGGACAUAAUAAAUGUUUUAGACCAGACAGAACGGCAGUGGGGAGAAGAAAUGAAUGGAAGAACAGAAUAAAGCUGUUAAAAAAGAAAAGGAAAAGAGAGAAAAGAGAACAGAAAUAAUGGGGGUGGUGAAUAUGGGAUGGGGGAAUCAGAAGUGGAAGAAUGUGGUUGUUUGAAAGCCUGAGUCAGAGGUGAAAGGGUGAAUGGAAAGCCGUUUCUGCAGUCAACGUAACUGAGCUUGACCAGGUGUGAGACCAUUUAUCAAGCAUUUAAUGUAUUGUGCUUUCUUUCCACGAGGAGUCUCAUUUCUGGUCAUUCCAUAGUCCUUGACCUUGGACCGCAAUGGGCUUCAUGCAGCUCUGUGAUAAAUGAUCAUUUCUGAAACAGCAUGCAUCACCUCUCAAUCGCUUACACACACACACACACACACACACACACACACACACUGCAACCCCCUUCCCAUGUUAUGUCACACGACUCAGCCUAUUUGUAAAUCACUCAUCAAAUGCAACACACCUUGAUUCCCAGUUCAAGCAGAAAUGUCCCACGCAGUUCCAAAGAGCGGAAUGAAGCUGAACUGAGGCUGCAAGAUCACACAAAGAGGAAGGGGCUGAAGCAGACACAGCUGUAGCUUGAUGGCUGAAUGCACAGAAAAGUGCUCUUACUUGUUCACCUUACUGGGGCAGUGGGACUUCGCUUGUCUUUGAAGCAAAGAAAAUAACAUAACAAGUGUAAGGGACUCUUCAACAAGAGCUUUCAGAGUUAUCAAGAAGAAAACACAAUAAAUUUCAACAUUUUAUUUGUUUGUUUGUUUGUUUAAAGUUACCUAUAAGCUGCCUUUCAUAUCUGUAAAAAACAUCAGUUAACAGCGAUGCCAGGGGACAGAAUUAACAACCAAGGAAAUCUUGGGUGAAGAGGUAUGUUUCAGUAGGGCUGUGUGCAGCCUUCCUGAUCCAUCCCGCAGCUCCAAUUUGGGGGUCUCCAAUUAGGCUGACCCACCCUGAGAGAGCCUAGGGACCACCCACCCUUGAUCCAUUCCCGAAUUGGUUCAGUAGUCAGGGCUAAUUCUUAAUUCAGGUAAAAACAACCUAAUGGCCAUAUUGCCAAUAGAGGGUGGGGGAAGGAGAUGUUGAAAUUCCUCCCCACCUCACCCCACAAACCGAGAGUGGGGG